AGCGAACGUUAGCGGCGGGCUUAACACAUGCAAGUCGAACGAGAAAGGGUCCUUCGGGGCCUGAGUAAAGUGGCGCACGGGUGAGUAACACGUGGAUAAUCUACCCUUCGGUGGGGGACAACCACUGGAAACGGUGGCUAAUACCGCAUACGUCCCGGCGGUCUUCGGACUACUGGGAGAAAAGCUUCGGUUGCCGAAGGAUGAGUCCGCGGCCCAUCAGCUAGUUGGCGAGGUAAUGGCUCACCAAGGCUUAGACGGGUAGCUGGUCUGAGAGGAUGAUCAGCCACACUGGGACUGAGACACGGCCCAGACUCCUACGGGAGGCAG
rnacentral:rRNA from 1 species